AUGAACGCUGGCGGCGUGCCUAACACAUGCAAGUCGAACGGAGUCCAGCCUUUCAGCCCUUCGGGUCAAAGAGGGGAAGACUGAGUGGCGGACGGGUGAGUAACACGUGGGCAACCUGGCUCAUAGAGGGGGAUAACAGAGAGAAAUUUCUGCUAAUACCGCAUAAGCACACACUGCCGCAUGGCAGAGGGUGAAAAGAGAAUCGCUAUGAGAUGGACCCGCGUCUGAUUAGCCAGUUGGCAGGGUAAGAGCCUACCAAAGCGACGAUCAGUAGCCGAUCUGAGAGGAUGAACGGCCACAUUGGGACUGAGACACGGCCCAAACUCCUACGGGAGGCAGCAGUGGGGGAUAGUGCACAAUGGGGGGAACCCUGAUGCAGCGACGCCGCGUGAGUGAAGAAGUAUUUCGGUAUGUAAAGCUCUAUCAGCAGGGAAGAUAAUGACAGUACCUGAAGAAGAAGCCCCGGCUAACUACGUG
rnacentral:rRNA from 1 species